rnacentral:rRNA from 1 species
ACUGCUAUCGAGAUGGGACUAAGGUAUGCUAGUCGAACGACCAGAACUAUGUCUGGAAGUGGCACACUGCUCAGUAACACGUAGCUAACCUACCCUUAGGACGUGGAUACCCCCGAGAAAUUGGGGUUAAUCCGCGAUAGGUGUAAUGUCCUGGAAUGGUAUUACGCCUAAAGGUGUAUCAUACAUGUUUGAUAUACGCCUAAGGAUGGGGCUGCGGCCGAUCAGGCUGUUGGUGAGGUAAUGGCUCACCAAACCUUUGACCGGUACGGGCCAUGAGAGUGGUAGCCCGGAGAUGGACACUGAGACAAGGGUCCAGGCCCUAAGGGGCGCAGCAACCGCGAAACCUCCACAAUGCACUCACGUGCGAUGGGGCUAUCUCGAGUGCCACCUGAUGAAGGUGGCUUUUCCUAGGUCUUCAAAGCCUUGGGAAUAAGAGGGGGGCAAGACUGGUGUCAGCCGCCGCGGUAACACCAGCCCCUCGAGUGGUGGGGAUGAUUAUUUGGCCUAAAGCGUCCGUAGCCUGCCGGAUAAGUUUCCCGUUAAAUCCAACGUCUCAAGCGCUGGACUGCGGGAGAUACUACACGGCUAGAGAGUGGGAGAGGUCAGCGGUAUUCUGGGGGUAGGGGCGAAAUCCUUUGAUCCCCGGAGGACCACCAGUGGCGAAGGCUGCUGACUAGAACACGUCUGACGGUCAGGGACGAAAGCUGGGGUAGCGAACCGGAUUAGAUACCCGGGUAGUCCCAGCCGUAAACGAUGCAUGCUAGGUGUUGGGUUGGCCACGAGCCACCCCAGUGCCGCAGGGAAGCCGUUAAGCAUGCCGCCUGGGAAGUACGAUCGCAAGAUUGAAACUUAAAGGAAUUGGCGGGGGAGCACCACCAGGCGUGAAGCCUGCGGUUUAAUUGGAUUCAACGCCGGG